rnacentral:rRNA from 1 species
UAAAUGGUACCUUUGGGUGGGGAAUAACUUAGGGAAACUUAAGCUAAUACCGCAUAAUGCAGCGGCUCCUUCGGGAGACAGUUGUUAAAGAUUUAUCGCCUAAAGAGCAGCCUGCGGCAGAUUAGCUAGUUGGUAAGGUAACGGCUUACCAAGGCUACGAUCUGUAUCCGACCUGAGAGGGUGGUCGGACACACUGACACUGAAUAACGGGUCAG